GUAGGGAAUCUUGCGCAAUGGGCGAAAGCCUGACGCAGCCAUGCCGCGUGAAUGAUGAAGGUCUUAGGAUUGUAAAAUUCUUUCACCGGGGAAGAUAAUGACGGUACCCGGAGAAGAAGCCCCGGCUAACUUCGUGCCAGCAGCCGCGGUAAUACGAAGGGGGCUAGCGUUGCUCGGAAUUACUGGGCGUAAAGGGCGCGUAGGCGGAUAUUUAAGUCAGGGGUGAAAGCCCGGGGCUCAACCUCGGAAUUGCCUUUGAUACUGGAUAUCUUGAGUUCGGGAGAGGUGAGUGGAAUGCCGAGUGUAGAGGUGAAAUUCGUAGAUAUUCGGCGGAACACCAGUGGCGAAGGCGACUCACUGGCCCGAUACUGACGCUGAGGCGCGAAAGCGUGGGGAGCAAACAGGAUUAGAUACCCGAGUAGUCC
rnacentral:rRNA from 1 species